rnacentral:rRNA from 1 species
CCGGGAGGCAGCAGUGGGGGAUAUUGCACAAUGGGGGGAACCCUGAUGCAGCAACGCCGCGUGAAGGAAGAAGGCUUUCGGGUUGUAAACUUCUUUUGUCAGGGACGAAGCAAGUGACGGUACCUGACGAAUAAGCCACGGCUAACUACGUGCCAGCAGCCGCGGUAAUACGUAGGUGGCAAGCGUUAUCCGGAUUUAUUGGGUGUAAAGGGCGUGUAGGCGGGAAUGCAAGUCAGAUGUGAAAACUAUGGGCUCAACCCAUAGCCUGCAUUUGAAACUGUAUUUCUUGAGUGCUGGAGAGGCAAUCGGAAUUCCGUGUGUAGCGGUGAAAUGCGUAGAUAUACGGAGGAACACCAGUGGCGAAGGCGGAUUGCUGGACAGUAACUGACGCUGAGGCGCGAAAGCGUGGGGAGCAAACAGGAUUAGAUACCCCUGUAGUC